GGUGCUGUGGCUUAGUUGGUCAAAGCGCCUCUCUUAUAAACAGGAGAUUCUGGGUUCAAAUCCUAGCAGUGCGU
rfam:Danio rerio chromosome 4, GRCz11 reference primary assembly.